UUCACUAGAUUUCAUUGUGGAAGAGGAGUUGAUACCUUGUUGUUCUUCUUUCUUUCUAUUCUUAUCAAAGAUAUAUAUAAUCAUGCCAGAUAAGAAGAAGAACAUCAAGGUAUCAACUCCUCUUCUAUCAAUUCUGUUGAAUCUGCAACUUCGAAUGUUUCUCGCAGUGACCCGAGAAAUCAAAGGUCCUUUACCAACAAUGGUCAUUUGGUGACCAUUGCAACAAACAUGGACAUAGAUUACUUGCUGGAAAUUGAAUAUGGUUAUCCAAAGGACUUACGAAGCCGCGGGAUUCAGUUUCUCAUGUCCUUGCCGGUGCCAAUGCACCUGCUAUUAGUGUUGCACAAUACGCUCAACUGCUUUCUCUUCUGGAUCCAUAACAUGAAGGCGCAAACUGAAUCCCAUCAGCCAACUUUGUAGGUUUCUUGAUGGAUAAACGUGAAGCAGAUAGCUCUCUUGACUCUUGAGAUAUAUCUUACCAUGUUUUCUGUCCGGUUAUCAUUCGCUGCUUCCAAUGCCUUGUCCUUCAUUCAAGCACCCAUUAUAGUUGGAAACCAUAACGGGCUUCGAAAAGACAGCUUAGGGGCAAUCAAGUGGGCAUUUUCUGCAUCCUUCUAUAACAAUAUACUUGGCAUGUCCGUAACUCUCAUUCUACAUCCUUGACGCAAACUCCACCCAUACAAGGAGUUAGCCUCACAAUCGGCAGUGCCACUUCAUUUCUUUUCAUGCUACGUGGUAAUAUAGCCUCUUGUUUUGGUUUAAAGUCCACCAUCCUCGACCCUUUCAAUGGUAAUUUCGGAUUGCCUUCGAUAAAAUAUUAAGGCUGAUUUGUAAUCUAAGGAGGAGCCUAAAAAACUAUGUUAAGAAAAAAGAAACCCAGUUAGCUAGAAUGUAAUCUAAGGAGGAGCCUCCUAACUCGAUAGAGUUUCUGCAGCAAUAAAACAAUUGUAUUUUCACCUUGUUGAUCACAGAAUCAACUGCGAUUGUCUCAUUCUCAAAAGUUAAAGCAUUUGGAGAUUUCCGAGA